rnacentral:lncRNA from 1 species
UCACACGUCCCCUUCUGACAGAGGGACUCCAGAUUCCCUGACGGAAUCUGGUCCUACUGAUGAAUACCGGGCGUUACGGAGGAAGUACCUGAUGCUGGAGGAAGAGAACUUUGCACUGGACAAAGAACUGAGCAUGGAAGAGGAAGAAAUGAAGGCCCUAGAGGAUGAAAAGCUUGCACUGCUUGAUCAGCUUGUUGUCUUGGAAGGUCUUGUGGAGCCAUCCCAGCUGCAGUCUCAGCGUAGGCCGUGAGGUGUUUUGGUUUAUGUGUAAUCUCGUUGUCGUUCAGUGUAAUACUGCAACUAGUAGAUGUUAAACUUUCUGGGUCUGAACAGUGUGUAGAAACAGCAUAAACCUGUUAUCGGCGAAUAAAAAACUCUUAUGAAUAUUUGCAGGGUCGGCAACUUCUUAGUGUGUUUGUGUAAAGUAUGGAGAAUCAGAAGAAAAUUUAGUUGCGAAGUUUAGUUUGGUGCGUAUGAAGCCUUGUUGCGGCUUACCUGAAGUUGAGCUCAUGAUGUGUAACAGGAAUGAUGCACUUGUUUUCAUACUUAAUGGGUAAUGCCUACGAGGAAAUUGGUUGCGUCAUAACUCAUAAGCCGUGUUUGCGGUGAAUAACCGAAAGUUUGGAUGGUUGAGCAUGGGAUAAUUUGUACAAUUUUGUGGGCGGGCAUGAAGAACAAAUAUUCUCAGUGGUAUGAGUAUUGUUUAAGUCGAGUACAUAACUGAGCACACAAAAUGUACAGAUGGUCCCUGAUGAAUGUUUUUGUGUUCAAUAAGCCUGUUAGUUCCAGAUGAGAAGAUCUAAUGGAUGUUAUUCCCAAAGCAACGGGAGUAUAUGCAUAUAUUCCCAAAGGAACUGAAUAAUCACCUCCACUGAUUGAUUUUUCUCUUGAUUGACAACGUUGUGGUAGCUUAAAAAUACGUACUUGGUGGAGUAACUUUAGACCUCCUUUGCAUUCUUGCCAAUUUUUUUGCUAGUGAAGUUUGUUCCAGUCAAGCAAAACCUGGGCCAAAAUUUAGCUGGGCUAUUUUGGGUACAAACCAGCCCAAAAAAAUCACAGAUCGGAGUGACGGAAAGCCCACGGCCCAAUAUUUUCGCAAACCCUCGCCGUUUAAAACCUGACCUGCAGCAGCAGCCGCUCCAAAACGCCACUGGCCUGCUGAAGAACGCAAGCGGAUGUGCCUCCUGGAUGAGGACCGCCCCGAAGCCGUAGGUAGACGCGUCGCACUCGACGACGAAGGGUUUGCCGAAGUCCGGAAGGGCCAGCACUGGGGCUGACGUCACAGCCGCCUUAAGGGCGGUGAAGGCGGCCGUAGCGUCGUCGUUCCACGUGAACCCCUCCUUCUUCAGGAGCGCGGUGAGGGGUGCCGCGAUGGUGCCGUAGUUGUGGACGAACUUCCGGUAGUAGCCCGCCAGGCCGAGGAAGCCACGUACAGCACGCGCAGAGCGAGGUUGUGGCCAGUCGUGUAUGGCCUGGACCUUUGCGGGAUCCAUGGCGACGCCGGCCGCGGAGAUGAUGUGGCCGAGGUAGCUCACGGAGUCGACGCCGAACGAGCACUUGGACCCCUUGACGAAGAGGCGGUGGUGGCGCAGUAGGGUCAAGACGACGCGGAGGUGUCGGAGGUGGUCCGCCCAGCUGGAGCUGUAUAUCAAAAUAUCGUCGAAGAAAACAAGCACAAACCGGCGGAGGUAGGCACGCAACACGUCGUUCAUGAGUGCCUGGAAUGUUGCCGGGGCAUUGCAGAGGCCGAAUGGCAUCACCAAGAACUCGUACAGGCCGUCGUGGGUGCGGAACGCUGUCUUGUGGAUGUCUUCGGGCCGCAUCCGCACCUGGUGGUACCCCGACCGAAGGUCGAGCUUGGUGAAGAAGCGUGCCCCGUGCAGCUCGUCCAGCAGCUCGUCGACGACGGGGAUGGGGAAGGCGUCCUUGAUGGUGACGGCGUUCAGGGCGCGGUAGUCGACGCAGAACCGCCACGAACCAUCCGCCUUCUUGACGAGGAGAACGCCGAGUCGCUGCGUCGUACGAUCCCCUGGGCAAUCAUGGCGGCGCAUUGCCGCUCGAGCUCGUCCUUGUGGGCCGCCGGGUACCGGUAGGGGCUGACAGCCACCGGAGGGGCACCAGGUUGGAGGACGAUGCUGUGGUCGCGGGCGCGUGGCGGUGGCAAACCCGUGGGCUCGGCGAAGAUGUCGCUGAAUGUGGCCAGCAGCUCAUCGAGGAGGGACGCGCUCGGCGCCUCUGAUGUCGCGCGCAAGGCUGGCAACGACGGACAGGCCACGCCGGUCCAGGCGACGGGGCGCCCAUGGCGCUGGAAUGACAUGCGCCGGCUGCCAAGGUCCCAGACUAUGGGCCCCAACUCGCCGAGCCACCGGGUGCCGAGGACGACGUCGUACCCGGCCAACGGCAUGACGUAGAGAUCGGCCGGGAACGCCGCGCCAUCGACGAGUAGGGGUGCGUCGCGAAUGACCCCAGCGCAGGUGACCCGCUCGCCAUUGGCAACCAAGGCGGUGAGGCGAGGCCGCUGGCGGAGGGGUAGACCGGAGCGCCGAGCUGCCUCUUCCGAGAUGAAGUUGUGCGUGCUGCCGGAGUCCAGCAGCGCGACGAGGGCCGCGGUACCCAGCACCACGGCGAUCUGCAUAGUGCCCGCCACGGGAACCCCAGCCACUGCCUGUAGUGAAAAACAGGGUGCCUCGGCGUCGUGGUCCGCGUCGUCGGCGGCGUCCGGCGCGUCCUCAAUCUCCACGCCUUCCAUGAAGAAGAUGCGCCUGCAGAACCGAUUGUGGCCACGUGUAUAUUUUUCAUUACAAUUGAAACACAGACCCAGACGACGUCGCUCCGCCAUCUCGUCCUGGGUGAGUCGCCGUUGAUUGCCCUCACCGCGGCCCUGCUGGGCGGCCGCUGGUGGAGCCGGAAGCGCCAGUUGCGCCGGGGGCGCCGGAAGUGCUGGACGGGGCGCAGGCGCAGGCAGGAGGCCGCGCGGUGGCGCGCGAGCUGGGGCCGGCGCCGGGCGAUCUGCCUCCAUCAGCUCCACCUGGCGGGCCAAGCUCAUCGCAGCCGCCAAUGUUGCCGGGUUGUGGAUGCGGACGGCGUGGCUGAGUGGUGGCAGGAGCCCGCCGGUGAAGAGCUGGACGCGCUGUGCCUCCUCCAGACGACCCGCACGCGGCAGGAGGGCCUGGAAGCGAUUGGAGUACUCCUCCACGGUACCCGUACGCCGGCACUCGGCGAGCUCGAACAACGGAGCCGAACGGAGGGGAGGCCCGAACCGGAGGUUCAGGAGGUCCUUGAAGCGCCCCCAUGGUGGCGUGCCCUCAUCUUCUUGCAGCUGGAUGUACCAGAGCUGGGCGACGUCCUCCAGGUUGUACGAGGCCAUCCAAACUCGCUCCUCCGCCAUGGUACGCUGCUGGCGAAAAUAUGAUUCGCAUUUGUUGAUGAAGAGCAGCGGAUCGGUCUUACCAUCAUAACGGGGAAAAUCCAAUUUCUGGAAUUUCGGAGGGCGAUCAAGAUCGCGGCCGCCCAUGCUGCUGUCCGUUGAUGACGACGCCUUGUCCUUCAUGGCCGCCAUGUCGGACUUCAUCGUUGUCAUCUCCGAAUUGAGGGCCUUCAACAUCUCCAUCACAUCGGCCAUGGUCGGCUCACUCAUGGUGGCUGGAUGCGGCGCGGACGCGGUGGAUGCUGCUGGUGAUGGCGGGCUGUUGUGGUGGUGGGCGGCGGCUGUGGUGGAUUGGACGGAGCGGGUGGGCGAGGAUUGCCGGGAACGGGAACGCCUGGAGGCUGAUACCAGGUUGUCAAGGGCAGCAAACCCCUGACUGGCUGGACCGCGGCUACGGAGCUCGUAGCCGUCGGCCGUCUUCUCCGGUGAGGUUAUACCCCUCUACCGUAGGCUUACAGAGAAUAGAGAGAGACUAGGGAUAACUUCAUUGCUUGAUUAAUCAUGACCUCUAGUACAGUUUAUAUAGGCCCGUGGCCUGCCACACUUGGUAACAAGAAAAUAGGAAAUAACUAAUUAGGAAUGAAUCCCCUAGACUUAAGGCCAAUCAAUCAGCCAAUCAAUCAUCUAAUCAAAUCAGCCACUUUCCCUAGCCGCACCUUCCUCCUGAUCUCCUGCGCCUGCUGCCUCAGCACGUGCUGCAGCCCGCCUGACAUCACGGGCCCUUCGCUGACGUGCGUAAGUGCGGCCCCACAUGACACCAUCCCAGCUGCAGUCUCAGCGUAGGCCGUGAGGUGUUUUGGUUUAUGUGUAAUCUCGUUGUCGUUCAGUGUAAUACUGCAACUAGUAGAUGUUAAACUUUCUGGGUCUGAACAGUGUGUAGAAACAGCAUAAACCUGUUAUCGGCGAAUAAAAAACUCUUAUGAAUAUUUGCAGGGUCGGCAACUUCUUAGUGUGUUUGUGUAAAGUAUGGAGAAUCAGAAGAAAAUUUAGUUGCGAAGUUUAGUUUGGUGCGUAUGAAGCCUUGUUGCGGCUUACCUGAAGUUGAGCUCAUGAUGUGUAACAGGAAUGAUGCACUUGUUUUCAUACUUAAUGGGUAAUGCCUACGAGGAAAUUGGUUGCGUCAUAACUCAUAAGCCGUGUUUGCGGUGAAUAACCGAAAGUUUGGAUGGUUGAGCAUGGGAUAAUUUGUACAAUUUUGUGGGCGGGCAUGAAGAACAAAUAUUCUCAGUGGUAUGAGUAUUGUUUAAGUCGAGUACAUAACUGAGCACACAAAAUGUACAGAUGGUCCCUGAUGAAUGUUUUUGUGUUCAAUAAGCCUGUUAGUUCCAGAUGAGA